AGAUUGAACGCUGGCGGCAUGCCUAACACAUGCAAGUCGGAGCGGCAGCGCGGGGGCGACCCUGGCGGCGAGCGGCGGACGGGUGAGUAAGGCAUCGGAAUCUGCCCUGAUGUGGGGGAUAACGUAGGGAAACUUACGCUAAUACCGCAUACGACCGAGAGGUGAAAGCGGGGGACCGAAAGGCCUCGCGCUGAAGGAGCGGCCGAUGUCCGAUUAGCUAGUUGGUUGAGGUAAAGGCUUACCAAGGCGAACGAUACGGUAGCUGGGUCUGGAGAGGAUGAUCAGCCAACACU
rnacentral:rRNA from 1 species